GGAGCUCAUCAAGCCCAAUCAGGAAGAGUUUAAAGAGGAGUGGAUUCCUUGAGGAAGAUGCUAGAUUAUUUUGCUCACAUGAGUGGAAACCAGUUUUCCAGAUCGCACCCUGUUCUUGGAUUCCAGCGCUCUGCCUCCUCUCUCUCUGAGCUCAGUGGAGAAGUCACCGCUCAUCUGGCUGCUCCCCAAGUUCAUGCUGUCAGGAGACCUCAACAACCUUCCGGUAUUACUCACCUGCCUGUCCACCCUCAAGCUCUCCACAGCCCCUCAUGUGUCCUCCUAGAGGAAAGAAUAGGAAAAUCAUUACCAACCAGCACCACUCACCACCUCCUGCCAACAUCAGCCUCUGUGGGUAUACUCACCUUUCCACCUUGAACAUCAACGUCUCUCCAACAGUCCAAUAGGGAAAAGCAGACGACCUGGUAAAUUAAGAGCUUUGCUUUUUGGAUCAGCUCUUUCUUCACCAACAGGUAUUAGAUGCUACUGACUUGAUGAGCAACUGCUUGGGAGGAAUGACUAAAAAGGCUUUUUUCUGUCUCACUGUCACAAACGUCAACAUGUGCAGUUUUGCUAAACUCUACUGGGACUUAAACUGGAACUGUGUGCUUCGGUCAGCUGAAACCAAGCUUGAGAUUUUCACCAACAAAUACUCCAGGUUGGUUUGGCGAACAACAAAGGAUUAAAGAGUGCAAAAGCACCUCAUGCACACUUUCAAGUACAGUGGAAGGUCUGUGAUGCUGUGGGCCAGUUUCUAUGUCAAAGACCUUGGUGAUCUUGUUAAGAUGCAGAACCGUUUUAUUUUUUUAAUAAAAACAAA